rnacentral:rRNA from 1 species
UCCUACGGGAGGCAGCAGUGGGGAAUAUUGGACAAUGGGCGCAAGCCUGAUCCAGCCAUGCCGCGUGGGUGAAGAAGGCCUUAGGGUUGUAAACCCCUUUCAGCGGGGAAGAUAAUGACGGUACCCGCAGAAGAAGUCCCGGCUAACUCCGUGCCAGCAGCCGCGGUAAUA